rnacentral:rRNA from 1 species
CAGCAGCCGCGGUAAUACGAAGGGGGCUAGCGUUGUUCGGAAUUACUGGGCGUAAAGCGCACGUAGGCGGAUAUUUAAGUCAGGGGUGAAAUCCCGCAGCUCAACUGCGGAACUGCCUUUGAUACUGGGUAUCUUGAGUAUGGAAGAGGUUAGUGGAAUUGCGAGUGUAGAGGUGAAAUUCGUAGAUAUUCGCAGGAACACCAGUGGCGAAGGCGGCUAACUGGUCCAUAACUGACGCUGAGGUGCGAAAGCGUGGGGAGCAAACAGGAUUAGAUACCCGUGUAGUCCCUGUCUCUUAUAC